rnacentral:rRNA from 1 species
UACGUAGGGGGCGAGCGUUGUCCGGAUUUAUUGGGCGUAAAGAGCGUGUAGGCUGUUCGGUAAGUCUGCCGUGAAAACCUGAGGCUCAACCUCGGGCGUGCGGUGGAUACUGCCGGGCUAGAGGACGGUAGAGGCGAGUGGAAUUCCCGGUGUAGCGGUGAAAUGCGCAGAUAUCUGGAGGAACACCGGUGGCGAAGGCGGCAUCCUGGACCAUUACUGACACUGAAAAGCGAAAGCCAGGGGAGCAAACGGG